UUUAGAACUCGAGAUAUGGGCUGAACACUGAAGAGUGUCUGGGCUGCAGGACAGAUUCUGAAUUCUCUUUUGUUGCUACUAUUUGAACUUGAAAACGACCGUUUUGAAUCUUGGACUCUUCAUGAAAGUUUUAGGCCUAUGUCUUAGCUUUCCAUC
rfam:Populus trichocarpa scaffold_4_contig_222, whole genome shotgun sequence.